AAUAGAGACAUCUUAAAAAAAAAAAAACCAAAAACUUUAGUGGCCAGCAAGAUUGCUCAGUGGGUAGAUGUGCUUGCCACUAAGUCUGACUACCUCAGCUCCAUCAGUGAGGUCACACAGGGAAAGAAGAAGAGGAGACCAACUCCUGAAAGGUGUUCUCUGACCUCCACACAUAUGAGCUGUGGCAUAUGCGUAUUGGACCAUACACUUACAUAAAUAAGUAUAAAACUGUAAUGAAAGGAUAGGGGGUUGUCAUUUAUUAGCAACAGCUGUGCAAUGGUGGUCUACAUGACCAUAAGAAAUGGGUAUUUUACCUUCUCCUACUCAGCAUCUUUGAGAAGUAAUACAAAACAUGUUUCUAAUAGUCAAGACUAACUGUGAUGUAUUGAAGAGGAAGUUUUGAAAGAAGACUUUUUUUUUCUUUUUUUUUGAGACAGGGCUUCUCUGUGUAACCAUGGCUGUCCUGGAACUCACUCUGUCAACCAGGCUGCCCUUAAACUCAGAAAUCCGCCUGCCUCUGCCUCCCAAGUGCUGGGAUUAAAGGGGUGCGCCACCACUGCCCAGCAAAAGAAGACUUUUUUACAAUUAAGUAUAUGUGUGUCUCUAUGAGUGGAUAUAUGCAUGUGAGUACAGUUCCCACAGAGACCAAAAGAGGGCAUGGGAUUCCCCUAGAGCUGCAGUUGUGAAUGCCUGACCUGAGUGCUGGGACCCUAACUCCAGCCCUUUGCAAGAUCAGUAUGCAUUCUUAACUGCUGAGCCAGUUCUUCAGACCCAAGAUGAACAUUUUGAAUGUUAACACAGAACACACUUUAUAAUUACUUGCAACUUAAACUCUCCUAUAACUUCCGGGUGUGAUGAAGAUGCCUUUAAUGCCAGCACUCGUGAGUCAAAAGAUCUCUGUGAGCUCAAGGUCAUCCUGGUCUAUCCAGUGAGAAACCCCCCCCCCCAAGACAAACCAAAAACAAAACAAACUCUCCCAUAACUGAGAAACCCUAAGCAGUUCUGUUGGGCAAAUGGCUAUUUAGACGGAGCUUCUCCUUUGAGUUAGGUCUCAAACUCCCAACAAAUGGUUGAGGUGCCUUUUUCACAUAUUAAAGCAGACCUGGAUGCUCCCAGCAUCCCUCAGUCCCUACCUGUUACAGGGUUGGCUGGCAUAGUCCACCCCGUGAACCUUCCGGCCCAGGUGCUGAGCUGCCCUUCUGGGGUCCUUCCCUAUAUAAUCCAUCCAUUUUGACUCUGCUGGUCAUUUUCACUUUUUUUCCCCCUUUACCUUCCUGGCCUGUUGGUCUCCUUGGUCUCCGCUCUCUCCUCAUAUGGCUGGAUCAGGGUCCUGUUCAUUCAAACUUUUGGUGCAGACAGAUAGUAGAGAUAAACAGAACCCAACCCCUGAUAUUCCUCAUAAAAUAAGGAGUCAUCAGAAUCUGGUACGCUAUUGUCCACUGUUGUUUUCAAUAUUUGGGACACUGCCAGCGCCGGAAGCUCCUGGCAGUCUGAGCGGGUCAGAUGUCCUGGUGGCCUCAACAUGAACCAGCUUUACAGAGCAGAGCGAUGGCAGCACCCCGCAGGCGUUGCCCCAGUCUAGCGUCCAUGGAGAUGGACGCGGAAAGGCCUUGCGCAUGCGUACUUCAAGAGCCCAGGACACCCGAGAUUGGGCGGGGCGAGCUCAGAGUGCGCCUGCGCACUGCCCUCUGUAGCUGUGUGAGCCGCAGUCUCUGGAGCGCUAAGGUGUUGCGGUCGCCUGUGGCCAGCCUCGCCCCCAAACCCGGUGUUGUUGGGCUGCAUCCGGAGUGGGGACGUUGGCGGAGCACCGGACGCGGCCACCAUGCCGAUCAAUAAGUCGGAGAAGCCGGAAAGCUGCGAUAAUGUGAAGGUGGUGGUUAGGUGCCGGCCUCUCAAUGAGAGAGAGAAGUCAAUGUGCUAUAGACAGGCCGUCAGCGUGGAUGAAAUGAGGGGAACUAUCACCGUCCAUAAGACCGAUUCCUCCAACGAACCUCCAAAGACAUUUACUUUCGAUACUGUUUUUGGACCAGAAAGUAAACAACUUGAUGUGUAUAACUUAACUGCAAGACCAAUUAUUGAUUCUGUUCUGGAAGGCUACAAUGGGACCAUCUUUGCAUAUGGACAGACUGGGACAGGCAAGACUUUCACCAUGGAAGGCGUUCGAGCAGUACCGGGGCUCAGAGGGGUCAUCCCCAACUCAUUUGCUCACAUAUUUGGUCACAUCGCAAAAGCAGAGGGCGACACAAGGUUUUUGGUUCGAGUGUCAUACUUGGAGAUAUAUAAUGAAGAAGUUCGAGACCUUUUGGGUAAAGAUCAGACCCAGAGGUUAGAGGUUAAAGAAAGGCCUGAUGUGGGAGUAUAUAUCAAAGACUUAUCAGCAUAUGUAGUCAACAACGCUGACGACAUGGAUAGAAUCAUGACUCUAGGCCACAAAAACCGUUCUGUCGGUGCGACUAAUAUGAACGAGCACAGCUCCCGAUCCCACGCCAUCUUUACAAUUACUAUAGAGUGCAGUGAGAAAGGCGUGGACGGGAACAUGCACGUCAGGAUGGGCAAGCUCCACCUUGUGGAUCUGGCUGGGUCAGAAAGACAAGCAAAAACUGGAGCCACAGGACAGCGCCUCAAGGAAGCUACCAAAAUCAACCUUUCAUUGUCUACCCUGGGCAACGUUAUUUCUGCCUUGGUGGAUGGAAAAAGCACUCACGUGCCGUAUCGGAACUCCAAACUGACCCGUCUCCUGCAGGACUCCUUAGGAGGGAACUCAAAAACCAUGAUGUGUGCAAAUAUUGGGCCAGCAGAUUAUAAUUAUGAUGAAACUAUCAGCACCUUGCGGUAUGCCAACCGCGCCAAGAACAUUAAAAACAAAGCGAGAAUCAAUGAGGACCCAAAGGAUGCUCUGCUCCGCCAGUUUCAGAAAGAAAUCGAAGAGCUGAAGAAAAAGCUUGAGGAAGGGGAAGAAGUGUCAGGCUCUGACAUCAGUGGGUCAGAGGAGGAUGACGAGGAGGGUGAACUUGGAGAAGAUGGAGAAAAAAAGAAAAAGAGAAGGGACCAAGCAGGUUGGUGUGAUUGGCUGGCACUUCACCUGGUGCGCUCACUCAUUUUCUCAAGACCUUUUAUUUAAGUACUUGACUUUUUUAUUUUAAUAAUUUUUACAAGGUAAGUAUCUGUCUUUUUAAAACAAUUCCAUUUUAGCUAUUUUAAAAGCCUUCUCCCCUAAAUCCUUAAAGACCUAUUAAGUCAGUUUUUGAAAAUGUACUUGUACCUGAUUUGACAGCAUUUUCCUCCUCUUUUGAAGGCCAAGAGUCAGUUUUUAUUGCCUACACCAUGGGUUCUUGUGACACAUGUGACAUUAGUCGGGUUGUCACUUCCUGCAGCUCUACCCAUGCCCACCCCAUCAGGUCACCUUCACUUCGGUGGCCCCUGGCAGACAGGGCACUGGAAGGCUCACUACUUCUCUUUGACUUAGCUAAAUACUUUUUAUACUCACAACAUGCCUUUUUAGAUUUAUUUACUUAAACUUUUUGUGCUAAAUUUUAUCAGUGAAAACUAGAAAAGUUUCUGAGGUUGGGUUUUUCCAAACCUUCUGGAGGUUUUGUGGUCGAUGUUUUGUUUUGUUUUUUAAUUGAUUUGGUUGGUGAAACUGCGUGUGGUCCCGGGAAUGAGCCCAGGGCUUUGCACAUGGUGGCCAAGCACUGAGCUACGCCCCCAUCUCCUUUAAAAAAAAAAUCUCUUCAGAAGCAUAUGUAGACUCUUAUGCCAUUGGAGCGGUCCAAGUACCCAUUGAGGGCACAGAAGGCAGAUUGCUUCAGGCUCCUCACAGCAUCCCCCAGUGGAGAGCAGGCUACUGGAAGCUAAGGCUUAUAUCUAGGGGAGCACGGGAUACAAAUUUAUUCCUUAAAGAUCUAUGUAAAAGUUACUCUUGGUCACCAAAUUUUUACACAGUCACAUUUAGCUUAAAGUAUUACUUGAAAAAAAUAAUGUGACUUGUCACAGUGAUUCUGGCUAGAGCCACAUGGGACUUGAAUGUGUGGACCUUUGAACUGACCCUAGCUGUGUGCUCAGUGUCUUCAUGAAACCCUCUUGAGCACGGUGAGGCGCUUGCAUCUAAAGCACGGAUUUGGAGGGAUCACUGUGUAAGACAAUCACCUCAGCAACAGACAGCAUUUAUACAUCUUCCUAUGCAGCCCUGUUUUGUAUUACUGCCUCCUAAUGGGUUUUUUGGAGCUGUUUAUAACUAUUAGCAAGACAAAACACUAUGAGUCCAAAAUUACAUUCCCAUAUUGACCUGCACACCUCAUCUCUGAUCUUAGUACCCAGGCCUUCCACACACGCUGUUUUUGUUUUAACGUAUUUACCAUUUUUCUCUAAAUGUUUGUAACCCUGAGGUGGAAGUUACAUGAUCUAAGGCGUAUGUACUUCCUGUAAACCUGAGCUUAGACUUUUCUUCUCAAAUUUUUAAUAAAUUAUUGCUGAUAGAAAGUCUUUUCAUGGAGUUCAUUGGGAGUAAGAAUUCAAUUGUUUGUGAAGACUAUUCUGUACAGCAUAAUUCUGAAGGUUCAAAGCAGAUGGCUGUGCCGUUAGGCCCAGGCCGCCUCGGGCCCAGAGUGCAGUGAAUCACACCACCCCAGCCCCUGGGUCCCAGCUCUGAGCUCCUCGUUGGUUUGUGCUUAGAUUUUGCUUUAGUCUUUGGUUCUGAAGAAGGAACGAUGCCGCUCAACUCUUGAAUUCCUAAUGUGAUUUUGUCGUAAGAGUUGAAAAAGCCUAUGCAUGGUCCUGCCUUUCACGGCUCCUGCAAGAGUCUGCUUAGAUCUGUAGUCCCCUUGCCAUUGGUUUUCGGUUCCUUUUCCUUCUCAGCAGGAGGGCUGGAUUUGGGGUAGAGGUAUUAGUUUAUCAUCCUCUGUCCUUGUCCCUUGGGAAGGAAGUAGAGAAUGACAAGCUUUCAGGAGAGCCUCAGGCCUGACAGUUCUCUGAAACGCUUGUUGUUCUGAAGGAACACAAUUCUAAGAACUUGCAUCAACCACAAAUGAAUUGUCAUUUGCUCAGUUUCAGAACCACUGAGGUAGCGCUUGUUUUCUUUGUUAUUUGUUUUCAUAUAACUUCAUGACUUUGAGAUUCACUGGUGAACUUCGUGUGAGCAAGCUGCAUCUGUCUGCACACAUUAGGACGUUGCUGUCAGUUGGAAGCUGCUUUUUAGCCUUAGUAGCUCAUAGCACUUCUGCUGACGUCAUACUUGGCAUGGUUAAUAUGAGUUAGGGACUUUGAGGAUCUAGUUUGACAUAGUAAGUUACUUUGGUGGCCCAUUUGUGACUUAUCAGGGCAGCUUUCCAGUGUGACAUGCCUGCCUUAAAUAAGUAGCUUACAGCUCGAGCGUGCCGGUGACUGAAGAAAUUUCCCUUUUCGCUUCUGUGUGCUAUUUGGGGCUCACAGGCUUUGCUUUUUAUUUGGCUUUCCUGUUAAUUUUCUUUCCCUGUUUUCUGCACAUCUGUUUUGUUCCUCUUCAUUUUCUCCUUUACAUGUCACUACACAGUUGGGUAACAGUUUGGAUUUAUUAAUGAAUUAAAAAAUCCUAGGAACUACUAAGUGGAAGCGGAAGUUUAACAUUCUCUGUUGAUGACUGAGCGUAGGCAUGGCUAUACUAAGCUGAUUCUUAUGUCUGAAGCACCGACUGCUUUUAGUGACUGCUGCAAUUACAUGACUCAAAUAGGUAAAAAGAAAGUUUCCCCAGAUAAGAUGGUGGAAAUGCAAGCGAAAAUUGACGAGGAGAGAAAAGCACUGGAAACCAAACUUGACAUGGAAGAAGAAGAAAGAAACAAGGCUAGAGCUGAACUAGAGAGACGGGAGAAGGACCUUCUGAAAGCCCAACAAGAGCAUCAGUCUUUGCUGGAAAAGCUGUCUGCUUUGGAAAAGAAGGUCAUUGUCGGCGGCGUGGACCUGCUGGCCAAGGCUGAGGAGCAAGAGAAGCUUCUGGAGGAGUCCAACAUGGAGCUGGAGGAGAGGAGGAGACGAGCUGAGCAGCUUCGGAAAGAGCUGGAGGAAAAGGAGCAAGAACGCUUGGACAUCGAGGAAAAAUAUACCAGUCUGCAAGAGGAGGCACAAGGAAAGACCAAGAAAUUAAAGAAAGUCUGGACCAUGCUGAUGGCUGCAAAGUCAGAGGAAAUGAUUGAAAACUACGUCCACUGGAAUGAAGACAUAGGAGAAUGGCAGCUAAAAUGUGUGGCCUACACAGGAAAUAACAUGAGGAAACAAACUCCAGUCCCUGACAAGAAGGAGAGAGACCCAUUUGAAGUCGACCUUUCCCACGUGUACCUCGCCUAUACAGAGGAGAGUCUGCGUCAGUCUCUGAUGAAGUUAGAAAGGCCACGGACCUCCAAGGGGAAAGCAAGGCCAAAGAUGGGGCGAAGAAAGCGUUCUGCAAAGCCUGAGACCGUAAUUGAUUCUUUACUUCAGUAAAUGUACAGAAUUAAAGUUAAAAUAAUAAAAAGAGUGCUGUCCCAUGCCUGGAGAGAACUCCUUAAUUAAGACACGAGGACAACUGUAUGGUUCACAUAAUGGAAGCUGUAAAGCAUGGAGAGAGACUGGAAAUAGCAAUUUUCCUAAUAUCUUUUAGACUCUUUAAGUGUCUGUAACAUGUAAGUGCGCCGCAGCUCAUGGUCGUUGGGCAUGGCGCACUGUGUCUGUCACACUGCUCUGCAGGAAGUAAGGGUUCCGUUGUUGUACGUGAAUGUGCGUUUCUUAGCUAUGUAUUCAACUACCGUGGCUCUAGACAAGCAGAAUCUCAGACUAGAACCAAGUCUGUCUUGUUUGCACACAACAUAUAGCAGAUCACCUUGUCCUGUGUCCUGUGUCCUGUGUCCUGUGCCAGUCUGGGCUGCCCAUCUAAGCAGUGACUUGAUUCUGUACCUGCCUGACCUGUCUAAAUGCAGUCCAACUUUACACUCAUCCUGACUGCAUCUAAGUGUGCAAUGACUACCUUGAUUGAUCUCCUGUGGAAAACUAUAAAAUCUGACAGCUCUGCAGGCUUACAUUCUGAAGAUGCAGUUUGUGUGCUCGCCUGUGCACCCUCCACUUCUGUAGCUCUGACUCCACAUUCAGCCAUUGUUGUUACUAAGUUGGCUCCCCACUUCUCCUGAAGCCAGCAUUAGCCACUUACCCUUGCUCACACACACAUUCUAAAACAUUCCCUGGACAUACAGCUUACAAACACUUCCUUGUCUGAAUUUUAAGUUUGAUGGAAAUAACUAUAAAAAAUGAGACCAGGGGUUGGGGAUUUAGCUCAGUGGUAAAGUGCUUGCCUAGCAAGCCCAAGGCCCUGGGUUCGGUCCUCAGCUCCGGAAAAAAGAAAAAAGAAAAAAAAAAAAAUAAAAAAAAAAAAAUAAAAAAAAAAAAUAAAAAAUGAGACCAGUCUCAUUUUUCAGAAAAUGAAACAAAGUAAAAAAAAAAAAACCUUUUAAUUUUCUUUAUUGUAUAUAUAAAUUUUAUAUAUAAAAAUACUCUUCUGGAUUUCUUGCAUUGAUUAAUCCAGUUAGAUGGAAUUCCUCUACAUAAAAACGUUAAUACUCACUGUAUAGUAGGGUAACUUGUAAUAGAGAAGUUUUGGUUUUGUUGUUUACGUAUAUAAUUUUUUGAAGGUCAUGUGCUUCCUAAACCCAAGUUUGAAGUUAUACAAUCAACUCUGAGCUAUUGAUUCCAAAAGUUUUGAGACUUCCCACGUGAGGAUAAAUUAAAUUGCUAUGAUUUUAACAAGUUUGGAUAAAUACUGACUUACAGCUACAUUGCUCUGUGUGGCUGCGGAUGACUGAUCAGAGGGGCAUCCCUGGCGAGAGGUGGAAAACAUGGCCGGACAGUUUUAGGCUCUCCUGAAUUAGAGCCCUGAGUAUCCUGGAUGUGCAGGCUGCUGGUGUUAGCAUGGCGUGCGGCAGCAUCUUCUAUUGUGAGUGUGGCCUGCUGUGACUCAAUGAGCUCUGUGUGUGUGUGUGUGUGUGUGUCUUGCAAAGGCUCAUGUGAGCUGAGCAUCUUGGUGACGUCAAAUUUCGCAAUGAUGUAAAUUUACAUGUUAGUAAUUAGAAGAAUCUAUAUGCCUUCAUUUUAAAAGUCCAUGUUUCUAUCAUUUAGCAGUUCAGUUGGCCUAGAAGGAAUAUCUGCUGUGAAUUAAGCUAAAACAUGAGAGAAAUUAAAUCUAGUUAAAUCAGUAACACAAGUAACUCCAUAAAACUAACAAUUUAGAAGCUUCUCUAAGCAUCUUGACUUAGUAAUUUUAUUUGCUUGCUUGUUUUUUUGAGACAGGGUCUCUGUGUUAGCCCAGGCUGGCCUGGGACUCGUCGUAAUCCUUCUGCCUCAGCCUCCCAGGUGCUGAGAAUGCAGAUGCAUGUUAUCAUACCAAGCCAUAUGUUUAUUAAAGCAUUGAUGUUAAAACUCUAAUCAGGUGGACAUUGUUCAUUUUCUGAAAAACCAAAUUCGAUUCUCACCAGGUGGGGAGGUCUGUUGAAGAAGGUAGGAAGCCCACUUCUGCCACAGCCAUGCUGUGGCUGCUUCUCAUGGACUCUGUCUUCAUCUGCAAAUGGAAUCAUUUUCAGUGUUAAUUCCAUGAAUGGAUAGAGAUGUAGGACAAACUUAAUGUUUAAAAUAAAUGUACAGAUUUACAUGAGUGGAACAGAUCUAUAAAUAGGCUAUUGAUACAUAGCCCUUUUUCUUUGAUUUAAAAGGUAGUAUUUAUUUAUUUGAACUGUAUAGUGUGUUAUGGCUGGCUUUGCAUUUACAUACCCUGACAGUUAGGCUCUCUCCACUCAGUGUCCACUGUGAUCUUAAGUCUUGGCUUAAAGGAAGGCUCUGCAGCUGCUGUUUGCCCCCAGAAUCCUCUGGUAAGCUGUCUCAUUUAUAUUCUGGAAAAGGUGAUUUUCAAAUUUAUGUUUUUGGCAGCCAGAACAUCAGGGUUAGUUUGGAAGGAGAGGGGGAAGUGUUACUUCAUCUGCAACAUGUUUUAAAGUGAUAAUUAUAGUUUCAGCGAUUUUAUUUCCAUUUUAAGUUUAUGUGGCCCAUCCCCCUUUUCUCUUUGAACUCUUAACACAAGGAACACCUUUUUUCCUUAUAGAGCUGUGAAUUAAGGAAUGGGCAGAGUUUACAUUUACACACACCUGUGUCUGCCCAGUUUCUCCUCUCUCCCCUCUUCCAUUUUGAAAUAGAGUCCAAUGUAGUCCAGGCUGGCCACAAACCCUCUGUGUAGCCCAGGUUGGCCUUUAAGCUCCUUAUCCUCCUACCUCCAUCUAACAGUUGCUGGGAUCAUACUUAUGCACCAGCCACCACACUGAGCUUUGCCUCCACCCCUUCUUAACAUACAUAAUUGUUCUCUGUCUUCCUUUUUCUUAAAAUACUAGAACCCAUAGUUCUUCUUAGUGCCUUUGAGCUGACCCUGCAGUCUGACUAAUUAGAAUCAGUGAAACCCUGAGUAGUGUUACUGUAAUGCUGUUACCGACCAGGAAACAAACUGUACAGAAAGUUGGCUGUGUUAAUUCAAAAUCCACACUUGAGCUGUAUUUAAUGUAUAAAUUGUACUUGUCCAAGCUGUAUAUAUCAAUGCUGUGUGUACGUGCAGCCCAGGAGGAUGAGAAAUAAAUGCCUCCCCAUGCCUAAUGUCUUUUAAAA